AUAACAUAGCCUAAAAUUUAUACUUGGCAAAUCCAUCUGAUAAUGUGGCCUGAAACAGCUGUAUAUUUUCCCAAAAUGUCUCUUGCUGCAAGCCCCGGCUGUGCGUUUCGUCUCAUGUAGAAAUACUCCACAACAGUAAAAGUUAUCAUUGUGGUGAAGUCUGAGCUUCUUCAUUGCAGUCCAAUGCGCUGUGCUGUGCAAUUUGUUGCAGCCAGCUGGCGAAAGGGGUUCUUCUUGCAGGCUUGCUACCUGUAGCGUUUGUAGCUUUGUCAGAUUCAGAAACACUUCCGAACAAUUUAAAAGUAGGAUUAGCAGCCUCUUGAGGUCUGAGUUGCAGUCCAAUGUGUACAUGAAUUUUGUGCAGCCAGCUAGUAAACAGUGUGGUGAGCUGUUGCAUGCAGACUGCGGUGUUGGUGUCGUUCGUUCAUUUAACUUUGGACCGUUCAGUCGUUCGUUUAUCGUAAGAAAUCUGUCACUUGUCGUAGAUCACCGUGGUCAGUUUUAUUGUUGAGCUGUUUAUGGUGUUGCUGUUUGGGGUACAGUGGUUUUGCAGUCAUUUUCCAGUUGAGAGAUGCGCUGAAAUGGAGCUUGUGCAGACUUGCAGUUGAACACCAUACUUUAAUGUGUCAUUUUCCUAUGUUGGUGUCCAUGCAGUGGUGAUCUGUUGUGGAAAAUAGUCGAUGUUGCCUGAUGGCUGUUGGGCUUAUUUUAUCGGCAGCAUUUUGUCGAUCUGUCGUCGCUUGCCACCUGUACCGCCAUUGAGUUGAUUCGUUUGCCGCCGAACUGUUGAAACUAAGAAGACGUUGCUGAAAUUCAAGAUUGAUCAAUUAAUAAUGUUUAUAAAUUAAAAGUGCAUAUCUGGGCUCCCUUCUUCAGUGGCCCCGUUUCCCUAAAUAACCACUUACCAACGCCCGCCGGUGGUCACUCACUCGCUGCGACUACCAGGAGGAAGGGAGAUGUUUGAUCGAACGGGGACUUGCAAGGCGCUUGAUUCGAUGAAAUCUGUUGGAGGGUCAUGAGUCUAAGCCGGAAGCCUACUAAUAUGAUGCAUUGAUUUCAUAA